rnacentral:rRNA from 1 species
GACGAACGCUGGCGGCGUGCUUAACACAUGCGAGUCGAACGGAAAGGCCCUGCUUUUGUGGGGUGCUCGAUUGGCGAACGGGUGAGUAACACGUGAGUAACCUGCCCUUGACUUUGGGAUAACUUCAGGAAACUGGGGCUAAUACCGGAUAGGAUCUCCUGCUGCAUGGUGGGGGUUGGAAAGUUUCGGCGGUUGGGGAUGGACUCGCGGCUUAUCAGCUUGUUGGUGGGGUAGUGGCUUACCAAGGCUUUGACGGGUAGCCGGCCUGAGAGGGUGGCCGGCCACAUUGGGACUGAGAUAGGGCCCAGACUGCUACGGGAGGCAGCAGUGGGGAAUAUUGCACAAUGGGCGGGAGCCUGAUGCAGCAACGCCGCGUGCGGGAUGACGGCCUUCGGGUUGUAAACCGCUUUCGCCUGUGACGAAGCGUGAGUGACGGUAAUGGGUAAAGAAGCACCGGCUAACUACGUG